rnacentral:rRNA from 1 species
GGUUAAGCGACUAAGCGUACACGGUGGAUGCCCUGGCAGUCAGAGGCGAUGAAGGACGUGCUAAUCUGCGAUAAGCGUCGGUGAGGUGAUAUGAACCGUUAUAACCGGCGAUUUCCGAAUGGGGAAACCCAGUGUGUUUCGACACACUAUCAUUAACUGAAUCCAUAGGUUAAUGAGGCGAACCGGGGGAACUGAAACAUCUAAGUACCCCGAGGAAAAGAAAUCAACCGAGAUUCCCCCAGUAGCGGCGAGCGAACGGGGAGGAGCCCAGAGCCUGAAUCAGUGUGUGUGUUAGUGGAAGCGUCUGGAAAGGCGCGCGAUACAGGGUGACAGCCCCGUACACAAAAAUGCACAUGCUGUGAGCUCGAUGAGUAGGGCGGGACACGUGGUAUCCUGUCUGAAUAUGGGGGGACCAUCCUCCAAGGCUAAAUACUCCUGACUGACCGAUAGUGAACCAGUACCGUGAGGGAAAGGCGAAAAGAACCCCGGCGAGGGGAGUGAAAAAGAACCUGAAACCGUGUACGUACAAGCAGUGGGAGCCUCUUUAUGGGGUGACUGCGUACCUUUUGUAUAAUGGGUCAGCGACUUAUAUUCUGUAGCAAGGUUAACCGAAUAGGGGAGCCGAAGGGAAACCGAGUCUUAACUGGGCGUUAAGUUGCAGGGUAUAGACCCGAAACCCGGUGAUCUAGCCAUGGGCAGGUUGAAGGUUGGGUAACACUAACUGGAGGACCGAACCGACUAAUGUUGAAAAAUUAGCGGAUGACUUGUGGCUGGGGGUGAAAGGCCAAUCAAACCGGGAGAUAGCUGGUUCUCCCCGAAAGCUAUUUAGGUAGCGCCUCGUGAAUUCAUCUCCGGGGGUAGAGCACUGUUUCGGCAAGGGGGUCAUCCCGACUUACCAACCCGAUGCAAACUGCGAAUACCGGAGAAUGUUAUCACGGGAGACACACGGCGGGUGCUAACGUCCGUCGUGAAGAGGGAAACAACCCAGACCGCCAGCUAAGGUCCCAAAGUCAUGGUUAAGUGGGAAACGAUGUGGGAAGGCCCAGACAGCCAGGAUGUUGGCUUAGAAGCAGCCAUCAUUUAAAGAAAGCGUAAUAGCUCACUGGUCGAGUCGGCCUGCGCGGAAGAUGUAACGGGGCUAAACCAUGCACCGAAGCUGCGGCAGCGACGCUUAUGCGUUGUUGGGUAGGGGAGCGUUCUGUAAGCCUGUGAAGGUGUGCUGUGAGGCAUGCUGGAGGUAUCAGAAGUGCGAAUGCUGACAUAAGUAACGAUAAAGCGGGUGAAAAGCCCGCUCGCCGGAAGACCAAGGGUUCCUGUCCAACGUUAAUCGGGGCAGGGUGAGUCGACCCCUAAGGCGAGGCCGAAAGGCGUAGUCGAUGGGAAACAGGUUAAUAUUCCUGUACUUGGUGUUACUGCGAAGGGGGGACGGAGAAGGCUAUGUUGGCCGGGCGACGGUUGUCCCGGUUUAAGCGUGUAGGCUGAUUUUCCAGGCAAAUCCGGAAAAUCAAGGCUGAGGCGUGAUGACGAGGCACUACGGUGCUGAAGCAACAAAUGCCCUGCUUCCAGGAAAAGCCUCUAAGCAUCAGGUAACAUCAAAUCGUACCCCAAACCGACACAGGUGGUCAGGUAGAGAAUACCAAGGCGCUUGAGAGAACUCGGGUGAAGGAACUAGGCAAAAUGGUGCCGUAACUUCGGGAGAAGGCACGCUGAUAUGUAGGUGAAGCGACUUGCUCGUGGAGCUGAAAUCAGUCGAAGAUACCAGCUGGCUGCAACUGUUUAUUAAAAACACAGCACUGUGCAAACACGAAAGUGGACGUAUACGGUGUGACGCCUGCCCGGUGCCGGAAGGUUAAUUGAUGGGGUUAGCGGCAACGCGAAGCUCUUGAUCGAAGCCCCGGUAAACGGCGGCCGUAACUAUAACGGUCCUAAGGUAGCGAAAUUCCUUGUCGGGUAAGUUCCGACCUGCACGAAUGGCGUAAUGAUGGCCAGGCUGUCUCCACCCGAGACUCAGUGAAAUUGAACUCGCUGUGAAGAUGCAGUGUACCCGCGGCAAGACGGAAAGACCCCGUGAACCUUUACUAUAGCUUGACACUGAACAUUGAGCCUUGAUGUGUAGGAUAGGUGGGAGGCUUUGAAGUGUGGACGCCAGUCUGCAUGGAGCCGACCUUGAAAUACCACCCUUUAAUGUUUGAUGUUCUAACGUGGGCCCGUAAUCCGGGUUGCGGACAGUGUCUGGUGGGUAGUUUGACUGGGGCGGUCUCCUCCUAAAGAGUAACGGAGGAGCACGAAGGUUGGCUAAUCCUGGUCGGACAUCAGGAGGUUAGUGCAAUGGCAUAAGCCAGCUUGACUGCGAGCGUGACGGCGCGAGCAGGUGCGAAAGCAGGUCAUAGUGAUCCGGUGGUUCUGAAUGGAAGGGCCAUCGCUCAACGGAUAAAAGGUACUCCGGGGAUAACAGGCUGAUACCGCCCAAGAGUUCAUAUCGACGGCGGUGUUUGGCACCUCGAUGUCGGCUCAUCACAUCCUGGGGCUGAAGUAGGUCCCAAGGGUAUGGCUGUUCGCCAUUUAAAGUGGUACGCGAGCUGGGUUUAGAACGUCGUGAGACAGUUCGGUCCCUAUCUGCCGUGGGCGCUGGAGAACUGAGGGGGGCUGCUCCUAGUACGAGAGGACCGGAGUGGACGCAUCACUGGUGUUCGGGUUGUCAUGCCAAUGGCACUGCCCGGUAGCUAAAUGCGGAAGAGAUAAGUGCUGAAAGCAUCUAAGCACGAAACUUGCCCCGAGAUGAGUUCUCCCUGACUCCUUGAGAGUCCUGAAGGAACGUUGAAGACGACGACGUUGAUAGGCCGGGUGUGUAAGCGCAGCGAUGCGUUGAGCUAACCGGUACUAAUGAACCGUGAGGCUUAACCUU